rnacentral:lncRNA from 1 species
GGAAAAGUGAGGGGAGCCUGAAGCCAGCCCACCCUGCGAGGCCUGGAGUCAACAACACAAUAUCUUAAUCUACAACCAUCACCACAGCAAUCUCCACUUAAACUGAAAUUACUACCAUAAUGAGAAAAAAAACCACAACCAAAACAAACAACAAAAAUAUUCGACCAGCCUUUCAAAUGAACCUUCUAUGACAAUGCAUAGUGACACCUCUCCAACCAAACAUACACUUCAAUUGAGCACAAUACCACCCAGUAUCUAAAACUCUGACAAAAGUUACACCUAGCAUUACUGCAGACCUUCAACAAUAACCACCUCUGUGGAACGUAACUUCGGAACCCACAUCAUAACUUUUUCUCUACCAUAAUGGGUAGAUGCUGGAAUCCAUUUAACUAUGGCUACUGAACUUAUGACUACAACAGAAACAAACACUCCCACUGACUCUGAAAACACUUUCUACUGAACUGCUAUAACUACACCCACCUCAUUCAUUUGAAAUUACCACAAAUGGCAUCAGGGCCACCUUAUCCACUGAAACUAAAAGCACAAUAAUUUGUAGUAGGCAUAUUCCGGUUAGAGAUAGCAGAACCACUUCCGGAGAAACUACAAGCAAAACAACUCCAACUCCGUCUUCUGCUGAGCCCUCAACCACAGCACCAGCUGUCACCGAACUGCACCUUAACCCCCAAUUCUUCUGAGCCGAAAACCAAGGCAGCUAUUCCCACUCACAUUACAUCUACAGCUACCGCUCUCUGGAAAGGCACAAAACGAGGACCAAAGCUUCAGAUGCAUGUAUAAUCACUUGUUAUUUGUUCAGAAGCUGCUAUCAAAAGAAACAAUAGCAUUCAGAACUAGUAUCACUUCAAAUAAGUCUACAAACACCCAUGAUUCUGGCCCUUUCAAACGAAUGUGGACCAGCACUUCAGCUGAGUUCUCCUGCUGCUCCCACAGCCACAACCACGGCCGCCUGUCUGAGCCUAUGUCACUCAAUGCCCCGUCAACAUCAUGUAUGCACUGCCUCAUACCUGCUAUUACCCCUAGUUAAUUGAAAUGACAAUUACUAUCCAGGUAACAAAG